UGGGGAAUUUUGGACAAUGGGCGAAAGCCUGAUCCAGCAAUGCCGCGUGUGUGAAGAAGGCCUUCGGGUUGUAAAGCACUUUUGUCCGGAAAGAAAUCCUUGGCUCUAAUACAGUCGGGGGAUGACGGUACCGGAAGAAUAAGCACCGGCUAACUACGUGCCAGCAGCCGCGGUAAUACGUAGGGUGCAAGCGUUAAUCGGAAUUACUGGGUGUAAAGCGUGCGCAGGCGGUUUGCUAAGACCGAUGUGAAAUCCCCGGGCUCAACCUGGGAACUGCAUUGGUGACUGGCAGGCUAGAGUAUGGCAGAGGGGGGUAGAAUUCCACGUGUAGCAGUGAAAUGCGUAGAGAUGUGGAGGAAUACCGAUGGCGAAGGCAGCCCCCUGGGCCAAAUACUGACGCUCAUGCACGAAAGCGUGGGGAGCAAACAGGAUUAGAUACCCUGGUAGUCCACGCCCUAAAACGAUGUCAACUAGUUGUUGGGGAUUCAUUUCCUUAGUAACGUAGCUAACGCGUGAAGUUGACCGCCUGGGGAGUACGGUCGCAAAGAUUAAAACUUAAAUGAAUUGACGGGGUCAUAGCUGUUUCC
rnacentral:rRNA from 1 species